AGACUUUUAACGAAAUUAUAGGAUAUUCAUACAAAUAAUGAGUUCUGUCUUCAUUUGUCAUUAUACUAUGCGUCGUAUAAUAACGAUUAAUCCAUAUCCACUCGAGUGGGGACGCACCGCAUGGGGAUGCGCGCGAUGCGCUUGAGGAAAUGGACAGUGCACUCUCAGUUCCUCCUCAAACCAGCGUACCGAAUGUGUCAAUACUAAUCUUCAUUUCCUUACGUUUCACAAACUGUUGGCGAAUGACAAUCACAAAUACUGUCAGCCCGGCGCUGAAAAUCGGGCUUCAACUCCUCGGCCUGUGGCCGGGAAUAUCGUAUUCUAUUAUCUAUUGGUCGAGUUUUAUGUUAAGCAUGAUAGUCAUGCAGUACUUUCAGUACCUGUAUAUAUUUAAUCAUAUUAAAUUUAGUGAGCUCUUGAAUCUCGUUGACAGUAUGCCAGCAGCUCUAGAUUACAGUCUGACCAUUUUUAAAUUGAUUAGUCUGUGGUUACAUCGCAGAGUCCUUCAUGAAAUCCUAACUGCUAUGGAUAACGAUUGGCGCGAGUGCAUCAAUGUUGAUUGGCAAUUGUACGUUAUGCAAGUAAAAGCUAAUAUAUCGCAUAUUUGUUGCAACGCUAUAUUGAGCUUUAAUGCAAUUGCUACGUUACUUUACUUCUUAGGAAAUUACAUAAUUCAUAUCAUGUUUCUAACUGAAGAUUACAAUGAUACUUUACGACAGUUGCCUUUUAAGACGCAAUUACCCUACGAAACUCAACAAUCGCCAUUGUUUGAAUUUGUCUUUGCGAUAUUACUCUUACAUGUGAUUUUACAUUCAAGUACAGUCGGUAUUGUAAACGGAUUGAUCUUUACUUUGGUGCUUCACGUAGGCGGACAAAUCGAUAUAAUAUGUCAAAAAUUCAAAAAUACCUCUGAAAAUACACUUCUUUCUAAAACUUCCGUACCUUCAUUUGGAAUGCUGAUUGAGAGACAUAACCGGAUUAUAUCAGCUUCUGACAAUAUCGAAAAACUGUUUUCCUUUAUUGCUUUGAUGCAAGUUCUUUGGAAUACUUUAGUUAUUUGCAGCCUCGGAUUUGCCUUUACAUUUUUUAUUCAUAAUGGAGCUAAUGGUUUCGCGUUAGUAAAAACCAUUUUUGCUUAUUUUGGUGUAAUAAUGGAAGCCUUUGUCAUUUGUUUUGCCGGAGAGUAUCUUAGCCAUAAGGGUAAAUUAAUUGCCAAUGCAUCAUACGAGAUGAUGUGGUAUGAUAUGCCAUCUAAACAGAGUAAAAUUAUAAUAUUCAUAAUAAUGAGAUUUCAAAAGCGGCUGACGAUCACGGCAGGAAAAAUGACAGAUAUGACAUUCGGAGCUUUUACAAGUAGUUCAUCAUGAAAUUCUAAUGGAUUAGAAUCCGUGGAAAAUGAUUGACAUGAGUGUAUCAGUCUUGUUCAAGAUUUGUGCGUUAUGCAAAUCAAACGGCAUAACUAUUUUAAUGUUUUUCGUUUUAAUGCAAUCACUACGGUACGUUACUUCUAAGAGAAUUUGUUUUAUAUUUCUAACUGAAAACUGUAAUACUUUACAAUGGGUUCCUGUAAACACGCAAUUUCAUCUUGAAACUCAACAAUUACUUGUUCGAGUUUCUCUUUAUGAUAUUAUUUUUAUAUGUGAUGUUAAAUUCAAAUUUACCGGCUAUUGUAAUUGGAUUGUUCUUUGAUAAUUUUCGUAUUUUACAUCUAUAUUUUAUUAAAAAUGUAUAUAACAGAUUAAUUUGUGAUCGAGGCUUGAUUAUGUCCGUGAACAUUAUUGUCAAAUAUUAUUAUUGUAAUAUAAGUUUUCCCAAUUUUUCAAUAAUCUCUAAAAAAUAAAAUAAAAUAAAUAAGACAAUGAACCUUAAUUAAAAUAUUUACUAAUAUUUUUUACUACUUUUUUCAACUUUUCAGGAAGCAUAUAUAUACUGUAUCUGAGAAAAUUAUCAUCUUUAGAGGCAAUUCAUUCAUCGAUCCAUUUUCUGACAACCACGUCUUUCGCGAAGUGCACACUAGAUAACCCGUGUUAUAGAUCUGAAUAGAUAUUAACCGAAAGAGGCAAUGUCUGAUGAGUAAUCUGGAGAUACGACAGGACUUGCCAUUUCAAAACUGUUGCUGUUUUUGAUAUAAAAUAUUUUGAUAUUAUGAAGCAACAUCAUGUAUCUGACAUUAGGUGUAACAUCGCAUACGAACAAAUAUAGCACUAAAUUGAGCAGAAAGUCUUGUAUUCACCUGACCUCCAAAUGCAAACGUGCGAUGUGAUACGACGUCCCAGCGUUUAUCGUUGCUAGGCACGCGCAAAGAUGUUUAAAGGUAUGCUUAUACUAUAUAUUGUAACUAUAAUAUAAUUGUGCUAUUCGCACAAAGUGCACUACCAAAUAUCUUCUUGCGUGAGUAGCAACAAUUCUCGGUGGUCGUACCUCGCCGUUUACCUUCAACAGUAGGCUAGGAGAAUUUGGUUGUCUUUAUAAAUUAAUAAUUUGUUAACUAUUGAAAAAAUUGUGAAAUAAAACAGGACAUUUUGUCU